rnacentral:rRNA from 1 species
AGGACGAACGCUGGCGGCGUGCUUAACACAUGCAAGUCGAACGAGGUGCUUGCACCUAGUGGCGAACGGGUGAGUAACACGUGAGCAACCUGCCCUUGGCUCUGGGAUAGCCUCCGGAAACGGGGAUUAAUACCGGACAUGACCUUGGUCUGCAUGGACUGAGGUGGAAAGUUUUUCGGCCAGGGAUGGGCUCGCGGCCUAUCAGCUUGUUGGGGGGGUAACGCCCACCAAGGCGACGACGGGUA